CCGGACAAGAGUCUUCCAUCGGCC
rnacentral:miRNA from 11 species